rnacentral:rRNA from 1 species
UACAGAGGGUGCAAGCGUUGUUCGGAAUUAUUGGGCGUAAAGCGCGUGUAGGCGGCUUGGCAAGUCGGGUGUGAAAUCCCUCAGCUCAACUGAGGAAGUGCGCCCGAAACUGCUGUGCUUGAGUACUGGAGAGGGUGGCGGAAUUCCCCAUGUAGAGGUGAAAUUCGUAGAUAUGGGGAGGAACACCGGUGGCGAAGGCGGCCACCUGGCCAGAUACUGACGCUGAGACGCGAAAGCGUGGGUAGCAAACAGG